rnacentral:rRNA from 1 species
AUUGAACGCUGGCGGCAGGCCUAACCCAUGCAAGUCGAACGAGUGGCGGACGGGUGAGUAAUGUCUGGGAAACUGCCUGAUGGAGGGGGAUAACUACUGGACACGGUAGCUAAUACCGCAUACCAUCGGAUGUGCCCAGAUGGGCUUAGCGAGUAGGUGGGGGAAAGGCUCACCUAGGCGACGCUCCCUAGCUGGUCUGAGAGGAUGAACAGCCAAACUGGAACUCAGACACGGUCCAGACUCCUACGGGAGGCAGCAGUGGGGAAGAGUGCACAAUGAGCGCAAGCCUGAUGCAGCCAUGCCGCGUGUAUGAAGAAGGCCGUCGGGUUGUAAAGUACUUUCAGCGGGGAGGCGUUACCCGGAGAAGAAGCACCGGGUAACUCCGGGCCAGCAGCCGCGGUAAUAG